UUAUGCAGGCCGAGUUGGUUAAGGCGCGCGACUCAAGAGAAAUCUUGGUUCCAGGCAACUGGAACAGCAUUCGCGUAACGAAAGUUGCAAGAGUUCGAAUCUCUUCGUGUCCAAU